rnacentral:rRNA from 1 species
GGACGGGUGAGUAAUGUCUGGGAAACUGCCUGAUGGAGGGGGAUAACUACUGGAAACGGUAGCUAAUACCGCAUAACGUCGCAAGACCAAAGUGGGGGACCUUCGGGCCUCAUGCCAUCAGAUGUGCCCAGAUGGGAUUAGCUAGUAGGUGGGGUAACGGCUCACCUAGGCGACGAUCCCUAGCUGGUCUGAGAGGAUGACCAGCCACACUGGAACUGAGACACGGUCCAGACUCCUACGGGAGGCAGCAGUGGGSAAUAUUGCACAAUGGGCGCAAGCCUGAUGCAGUGCCGCGUGUGUGAAGAAGGCCUUCGGGUUGUAAAGCACUUUCAGCGGGGAGGAAGGCGGUGAGGUUAAUAACCUCAUCGAUUGACGUUACCCGCAGAAGAAGCACCGGCUAACUCCGUGCCAGCAGCCGCGGUAAUACGGAGGGUGCAAGCGUUAAUCGGAAUUACUGGGCGUAAAGCGCACGCAGGCGGUCUGUCAAGUCGGAUGUGAAAUCCCCGGGCUCAACCUGGGAACUGCAUUCGAAACUGGCAGGCUAGAGUCUUGUAGAGGGGGGUAGAAUUCCAGGUGUAGCGGUGAAAUGCGUAGAGAUCUGGAGGAAUACCGGUGGCGAAGGCGGCCCCCUGGACAAAGACUGACGCUCAGGUGCGAAAGCGUGGGGAGCAAACAGGAUUAGAUACCCUGGUAGUCCACGCUGUAAACGAUGUCGAUUUGGAGGUUGUGCCCUUGAGGCGUGGCUUCCGGAGCUAACGCGUUAAAUCGACCGCCUGGGGAGUACGGCCGCAAGGUUAAAACUCAAAUGAAUUGACGGGGGCCCGCACAAGCGGUGGAGCAUGUGGUUUAAUUCGAUGCAACGCGAAGAACCUUACCUGGUCUUGACAUCCACAGAACUUUCCAGAGAUGGAUUGGUGCCUUCGGGAACUGUGAGACAGGUGCUGCAUGGCUGUCGUCAGCUCCUGUUGUGAAAUGUUGGGGUAAGUCCCUCAACGAGCGCGACGCUUAUCCUUUGUUGCCAGCGGCUAGGCCGUUAACUCAAAUGAGACUGCCAGUGAUAUACUGCACGAACGUGCGGAUGACUUCAAGCCGUCAUGGACCAUAGGACCAGGGCUAGACACGUGCUAUAAUGUCAUAUACAAAUAGAAACGACCUCGGGAGAGCAUUCACACCUCAUAAAAUAUAAACAUAGUCCGGAUUGUAUUAUACAACUCGACUCCAUGAAAUAAUAAUCGCUAGUGAUUCUUAGAUCGGAAUACUACGGUGAAGGAGGUUGCUAACACCUCCUCCCC